UCUCCGUUGGUGAACCAGCGGAGGGAUCAUUACAGGACUCGCAAGACUCCUAUAACCCUGUGAACUUACUACAAAGCACGUUGCUUCGGCGGGUGUCCCGGGUGGUUUUUCCCCUCGGAAGCGCUAAGCCCGCCGGCAGCCUACUAGAUUCUGUCUCUUUGCGUUGGCAUCUCGAGUACAAACAAAUAAGUUAAAACUUUCAACAACGGAUCUCUUGGUUCUG
rnacentral:misc_RNA from 1 species